AAAACGCCAGAGAAUUACGAGCGCAAGCUUAAAACUCAAAGGACUUGACGGUGUCCCAUCUACCUAGAGGAGCCUGUUCUAUAAUCGAUAAUCCACGAUAAACCUCACCACCUUUAGCCAUAUCAGCCUGUAUACUUCCGUCGCAAGCUUACCAUGUGAAUGGCACUAGCGAGCAAAAAGUAAAAACGUCAGGUCAAAGUGCAGCCAAUAAGAUGGAAAGAAAUGGGCUACAGUUUCUAUUUUAAGAACAUACGUUCUAAUUGAAACAGUGAUAGAAGGAGGAUUUAGCAGUAAAAUGAAAACAGAAUGUUUAUUUUAACAAAGCCCUGGGACGCGUACACACCGCCCGUCACCCU
rnacentral:rRNA from 1 species